UACGAAGGGGGCUAGCGUUGCUCGGAAUCACUGGGCGUAAAGCGCACGUACGCGGAUUGCUAAGUCAGGGGUGAAAUCCUGGAGCUCAACUCCAGAACUGCCUUUGAUACUGGCGACCUUGAGUCCGGGAGAGGUGAGUGGAACUGCGAGUGUAGAGGUGAAAUUCGUAGAUAUUCGCAAGAACACCAGUGGCGAAGGCGGCUCACUGGCCCGGUACUGACGCUGAGGUGCGCAAGCGUGGGGAGCAAACAGG
rnacentral:rRNA from 1 species